rnacentral:ncRNA from 2 species
AGGUAUAAUCCGCGCGUUGGUGCUCGCGGCGUCGUUCAAGCGCUGCAGUUCAACGGGAAGCAGGAGGGCCACGCAAUCAGCGCUGCCUAACCUGCGCUGCCCCCGCAACGGUAAGUGGAUGAAUCAGCUGAUUCCGCUUCCAUCUAGGCCACUGAGCGUUUCGAACACGCGCUUGGGAAGGCGAUGGAGGUUUGUCCACCAGCCCGGAUACCGGCCAACGACUACGCCGGCAC